rnacentral:rRNA from 1 species
GACGAACGCUGGCGGCGUGCUUAACACAUGCAAGUCGAACGGAAAGGCCCUGCGUUUGUGGGGUGCUCGAGUGGCGAACGGGUGAGUAACACGUGAGUAACCUGCCCUUGACUUUGGGAUAACUUCAGGAAACUGGGGCUAAUACCGGAUAGGAGCUCCUGCUGCAUGGUGGGGGUUGGAAAGUUUCGGCGGUUGGGGAUGGACUCGCGGCUUAUCAGCUUGUUGGUGGGGUAGUGGCUUACCAAGGCUUUGACGGGUAGCCGGCCUGAGAGGGUGACCGGCCACAUUGGGACUGAGAUACGGCCCAGACUCCUACGGGAGGCAGCAGUGGGGAAUAUUGCACAAUGGGCGGAAGCCUGAUGCAGCAACGCCGCGUGCGGGAUGACGGCCUUCGGGUUGUAAACCGCUUUCGCCUGUGGCGAAGCGUGAGUGACGGUAAUGGGUAAAGAAGCACCGGCUAACUACGUG